rnacentral:rRNA from 1 species
GACGAACGCUGGCGGCGCGCCUAAAACAUGUAAGUCGAACGAGAAGCCCGGGCUUGCCCGGGUGGACAGUGGCGAACGGGUGAGUAACACGUGAGGAACCUGCCCCGAAGACCGGGACAACACCGGGAAACCGGUGCUAAUACCGGAUGCCUUCACCGGAUCGCAUGGUCUGGUGAAGAAAUGGAUUCCGCUUCGGGAUGGCCUCGCGGCCUAUCAGCUUGUUGGUGAGGUAACGGCUCACCAAGGCAACGACGGGUAGCUGGUCUGAGAGGAUGUCCAGCCACACUGGGACUGAGACACGGCCCAGACUCCUACGGGAGGCAGCAGUUAGGAAUCUUGCGCAAUGGACGAAAGUCUGACGCAGCGACGCCGCGUGCGGGGUGAAGGCCCUCGGGUUGUAAACCGCUUUCAGCAGGGACGAAAUUGACGGUACCUGCAGAAGAAGCCCCGGCCAACUACGUGCCAGCCGCCGCCGUAAGAC